AAAAGGUGGCUAUGCUACCGCUUUUGGAUGGGCCCGCGGCGCAUUAGCUAGUUGGUGGGGUAAAGGCUUACCAAGGCAAUGAUGCGUAGCCGAACUGAGAGGUUGAUCGGCCACAUUGGGACUGAGACACGGCCCAAACUCCUACGGGAGGCAGCAGUAGGGAAUCUUCCACAAUGGGCGAAAGCCUGAUGGAGCAACGCCGCGUGGGUGAAGAAGGUCUUCGGAUCGUAAAACCCUGUUGUUAGAGAAGAAAGUGCGUGAGAGUAACUGUUCACGUUUCGACGGUAUCUAACCAGAAAGCCACGGCUAACUACGUGCCAGCAGCCGCGGUAAUACGUAGGUGGCAAGCGUUAUCCGGAUUUAUUGGGCGUAAAGGGAACGCAGGCGGUCUUUUAAGUCUGAUGUGAAAGCCUUCGGCUUAACCGGAGUAGUGCAUUGGAAACUGGGAGACUUGAGUGCAGAAGAGGAGAGUGGAACUCCAUGUGUAGCGGUGAAAUGCGUAGAUAUAUGGAAGAACACCAGUGGCGAAAGCGGCUCUCUGGUCUGUAACUGACGCUGAGGUUCGAAAGCGUGGGUAGCAAACAGGAUUAGAUACCCUGGUAGUCCACGCCGUAAACGAUGAAUGCUAGGUGU
rnacentral:rRNA from 1 species